UUUAGUAACUCCGUGGAGUCCUUGCUGCUUUCAUGCCCCUUGCCUUCCUCAGAUCACAGGAUUUGCUUUCAUACUUGGAUAAACCUACUUCUCAUUAGCGGCUUAAGAAAUGUUUUCUAUGCAUCCAGAAUUUGUAAUGUCGAGAAGUGGACUUCAAUACUUUUUUCUUUGCCAACAGAUACUGCUAUCUAAUGAAGGAUGAAUUUCAAGUACCCGAGACUUGAGCUCUUCUUAAGGAUCAAAGGACACCUCUGGAAGGAGACCCACAGGUGAAUGGUGAUAACAGCUGCUCAACAUCAAUUCAGCAGCAUCAAUUCAGCACCAUGAUCUGCCUCAAACAAGGGUCCAAGUCCUGUGUAUUUAGCAUGUUCCCUAUAACUAAAGAGUGAAUAAAUGAAUGAGGAGAGAAGAGCUUAUGAAUAAAAUACUUCCUAAUAGCAGA